rnacentral:ncRNA from 1 species
CUACGGACUUAAAAAAAUUGAGCCUUGGCAGAGAAAUCUGUCAUGCGAACGCUCUCAAAUUCAGGGAAACCUAAGUCUGGCAACAGAUAUGGCAAUCCUGAGCCAAGCCUUAAUCAAGGAAAAAAACAUUUUUACCUUUUACCUUGAAAGGAAGGUGCAGAGACUCAACGGGAGCUACCCUAACAGGUCAAGCUGAGGGUAAAGAGAGAGUCCAAUUCUCAAAGCCAGCAG